rnacentral:rRNA from 1 species
UACAGAGGUCUCAAGCGUUGUUCGGAUUCAUUGGGCGUAAAGGGCUCGUAGGCGGCCAACUAAGUCAGACGUGAAAUCCCUCGGCUUAACCGGGGAACUGCGUCUGAUACUGGAUGGCUUGAGUUCGGGAGAGGGAUGCGGAAUUCCAGGUGUAGCGGUGAAAUGCGCAGAUACCGGGAGGAACACCCGUAGCGAAGGCGGCACUCUGGGCCGUGACUGACGCUGAGGAGCGAAAGCGUGGGGAGCAAACAGG